rnacentral:lncRNA from 1 species
UGCCUGAGAGUGUGCUGAAACAACUGGAGUAGCGCAGAAGCAAAGGGUACAAUGAAAAGGAGUGAAGUUGGACGGCAUGCAUCUUGUUUUAUGGAGAAGCAAGACAUCUGAUUGAUAUAAGUUCUUUUCCAGCGCUAUAUAUUGAUAAUUGUUGUUGUAGAUAUUUGUUACGUUGCUGACAUGGUAUGUUUUCCGUUCGAGUGAAAUCUAUGAAUAUUGUUAGAUGGCUCUUAUAGAGUCUCCAAUCCAUUCAUUCGUUGGGUUUGCUUGGUGAAGUUUCAUUCAAGAAAGAAGAGGUGUAGUUAUGAGGAAAUUUUGAGGUAAUAUCUAGCUAGGUGGGUUUACUUGCUUCUGUUGCAAUUGUUAUUCAUACGAAUUGAGCUGAUCAUUAAAAGCAACUCGUUGAAGCGUCGAGCCGGGCCGAG